UACGUAGGGGCAAGCGUUGUCCGGAAUCAUUGGGCGUAAAGAGCGUGUAGGCGGCCCGAUAAGUCCGCUGUGAAAGUCCAGGGCUCAACCCUGGGAUGCCGGUGGAUACUGUCGGGCUCGAGUCCGGAAGAGGAGUGUGGAAUUCCUGGUGUAGCGGUGAAAUGCGCAGAUAUCAGGAGGAACACCAAUGGCGAAGGCAGCACUCUGGGACGUGACUGACGGCUGAGACGCGAAAGCGUGGGGAGCAAACAGG
rnacentral:rRNA from 1 species